AUUGUUCGCUUGUUCCGUCGUGCUAGGCCGUAACCUUGCCAGUCCUAUGAGUUGUGGAGCCCAGCCACAGUUGAUGAGCCGCCAAACCAAGACUUCCGCUUCCAGUUAAAUAGACUUCCGCUGCCAUAUAAUAGCCUUAGGGCUAUGCCAGAUAAUUGUAUUCAUCAAUGAUGUAAUAUUAUACACAUGUAUUUGAUGGAUAUUAUUGUACCUGGAAUGAUGUAUCAUGGACCUGUCGUGCGUCAGGCAUUAUCCUGGGCUAACGUGCGAAGGCCCCCUGCUCCAUGCAGAUCGGAGUGCCACAGGAGAUGGUAUGAGAGUAGCCAGGCUGGCAUAGGCUAUCCUAGCAUUAGACCACCGCUACCAUCAACCCGUAAUGACCCUAAGGGAUUUGAACCAUCCCUGGCAUCCGGCAUGGCCAUUGUUAAUCAAUAGGUGACGCAGUCGGGACCGACACUUCCUCACCCCGCUGUCCCCGCCUAGUUAUCCAUGGAACGAAUAGCAACCCUAUAUUUUCUGGUCGGCCGCACCACAUUCCCUUCGCCAUUAAGGGAAAGGGGCCACACCAUGCGGGCAUGUCCCUCCAAAGAAGCCUAGCUAGUAACACCCCAGCCAUGGCUAGCACCCUCAAAGCUCCCAAGUUUUACACCCGCACCUUUGCCGUCAACCACACAGGCUUUCCACCCCUUCUUGCCGAGAUGCUCACCAAAGCCUUUGGCUGUAAUGCUAGCCCCGAUUACCUGGUGUUCCAGUCGACACCGGUCCCUCACCUUCACCGCUAUGAUGCAAGAGUGCACAUCGGCCCAGGUCCCGCAGUAGAUGGCCAGCCUUUGGUUUUUCAGGGUAGGGCCAUGCCUACCGCUGAUUUAGCCAUUCAGGCCGCUGCUGUGGAGGCUAUUCUAUACCUCUGAACCAAGUUUCCGCAAGUGGCGCAAAGGUGGGAGUUCUGCUUUUUCCCCAUUGUGGCAGAAGCAGGAAUUCAGCCUUCUCCCACUAUCCAAGGAGAUGACCCCGCAAUCGCUCGCCUGGUGCAAUAUAUCACUACCCAGGGGGGGAUGAUUUCUAAGAUGCUUGCCGAAUUUAGAACCCUGGACAACGAUGCGGUACGAGUUGUCAAGGAAGCUUAUCGUGAGGCUCGUAAAUUCACAUCUCAAGCCAUUCACCCCAUGCCAUCCUAGCCAGUGCUACCCUCUCAGCCUGUGUUGUGGCCUAGGCCAAACAUCAUCACCCUCGACAAGGCUCUUUACCGAAUCCACCAGCAACAUUUGCUUGGAUCAAUUUCAGCCACAGCCCCAGCAGUAGAACCCCAACCCAUAGUGCUGACGGACGAUGAAGAUGGAGAUUGGCUCAGUAUUCGUCCUCCCGGAGAGCCCCAGCAAGGCCAGUCCUCUGCAUGACCUCUGUCACGCAGUGAGGUGAUUCUGCGAGUAGGUCAGUUAAUCUGUUCAUCCUCGAUAUGAGGAUAGAACUAUGUAUCCCGAAAUGAGUUGUUUCAUUUAGCGCGUUGAGCGUUCGUGCUUUGUUGUAUGAUGGUACUGUUGUAAUCCGUAUGCUGUGUUCUAUGUAUGUUUUCGUGCUUGUUUUUGAUUGUCUCAUUGUCAAGCAGAAAUGUUCGACAAUGCUGGAAAUGUGUUUCAAACAAGAUUUUAAUCAGUAGAUCACCAACACUAAAAACAACAUUGACUCUUCCCGAGUCUCUAAUAAAAUACGCGCUGGUGUAGGUAUAUGUAUGCCAGGAGUACAUAUACCCCCUAGCAUUAAAACAGUUUAGUAUGAUUUGUCUGGUGUGCUUUUCUGUUGCAUGUUUAUUGUCUCUGUCUGUUUAUUAGUUUAGGUUGUAUUGCAUACUGCACGCAUACCCGGUUUCACCAUGAGUACAUUCGGGCAGUACUCGGGGGAAUGCAAAGUCACAUAUCCCUCUCUAUCUGUGCAUACCUAGUGUGCCGAAUUUCGAAACCCAGAGCUUCGCAGAGGCAUUUUCGUCUGGCAGUCCCUCGUCUAUAAUUCUUUUUCCCGAUUUCGUUUCUGGAGGAACACUACCAACUUUAUUUCAUUCGAUCCAGUAGAUCUACCACAAUACAGAUUUCAACUCCGAUUGUACCUCUACACCUACAUUUCAUGGAGCUAUCCACGAAGUUUUCCUGUACUCCAGUGUGUUUCUAGAGCUGGAGCAGCCACCUCACCUGCAUCUGGACUCCACCACCAUCAUCUUUGCCUUGCGCAGGCAAGUCGCCACCACCGCUCCACCGCAGCACGCGAUCACUCCGCCGGUGCAAAGCGAUGGAGGAUCAAGCGUGGCGGAGGACCACCCCGUGCACCAUCUUCUCCGGCACCUCGAGCCACCACACCUAGCCGCGCGUUGUCCUGAACCCGAUCAUUCCUGAUGAGAAUCAACAGGAGGAUCGACGAGCCGAUUAGCGUGCUCAGCAGUGCCACGAGGAACAACCGCAACACCGCCAAGAACAUUUCCUCGCCGAAGGAGCUCAACUCGAUCUCGUCCAAACCGAAGAGGUAGUAGAGCGGCAUUGUGUUGGUGUGUUGGAGGAGAGCCGCGCCGCCGCCUUUUAUAGCCCACCCCUAUGUACGUUGAGCGAGGUCCAGGAGAAUCGCUCGUCGCCCGAUCACCGGCAUCCAGGAGGCGAAUCCGCGAGCAGUGCCGACAUGGUGCUGGCUUGCGACGUGAGUGCUCGCUACACCGGCGCCGUGCACGCCGCGCACUAUGGCUCUAGGGUCCUCAUCGCCCUAGGAGCUAGAUGCGCGUUGCGCCAAGCCGCACGCGGAGCAACAACGUAGGAGAAGCAGCAAGCCGAAGGUAGAAGAAGGAGGCUGCCAGUGGGCCCUGGACCCACGUGUCAGCAGGUGAAUCCACUGUUCACUGGGGUGCAUCUAGCAAAUUUUUCGAGAGUCUCAUUUCGAGUGUCCCUAGCCGCGGAGGUAACCCUGUUCUGCUCAUAUAUCUCUUUGGGUGUAUCAAUUAUCGGUACCCCAAUUCGUUGAAAUCUAACCGAAGGGUUCAAAAUUUACCCCGAGGUUUUCCCCGGAAUGGUUAUCUUUUCAAUUGUGCUGUAACCCUAGGAAUCUCGAGGACGAGAUUCUUUUUAAGCGGGGAAGAGUUGUAAUAGCCCCAAAAUUGGGUUAUAAAUUUUUGUGCUGUUAUUCUUUCCCGGCACUCAUUUAAAAAAUCUUUCUCCUGAGUUUGUUGGAUGACUCUGAGAUUUCCUGUCAUUUCCAUCCUUUCAAAACCUUGCUCAUGUUUUUGUCAAUGGGCAAGACCUCAUUUGCAUCAGCUCAAACCCUCUCAAACCCUAAUUCCAAAUUUUUGGAAUUUGAAUAUGGCCUUUGUGAUUACAAAGGAGCUAUCAUUUCCCUUGAGCUGUUGAUCAUCCCAUCUGUUCCCACAGGCCCUCCUAUCCUUGUAAACCUUUGACAUGCAAAAAUUAUUGCCAAGUCCCAUGCAAUACUUUUGAAUUAUGAUUUAUUCCUUUUCUUGCCUUUCUGAGGAAUAAAAUCCAAAGGCAUAGCUAGCCAACUCCUAAAUUCAUGUGAAUUGGUGGAGUUGAUAUUUAUUCCUAAUCCAAGCUUUGGCAAAUAUAUUGGCCAUAAUAAAAUAAGGGAAAUUGCCUUUUCCUAUUUAAUACCAAUAUUGCAUUUCUGCCAUUUUCUAAGGGAACUACUGUUCCGAUAGCAGACAAAAUUCCCACAUAAAUUGUGGAGCUUGACCUUGCUAUAUAAUCAUUAGUUCCUUUCUUGUCUCAUGUUCCACAGGUAAAAAAUUGGGCACAUGAUCCAAUGCAAGUUUCUGCCUUCUCUAAAAUUUUGCAAAGGAAGUGCUUUAUUCCUAAUUCCAAUUGAGCUGCAAUUUGGCAGGGUGAUUAACAUUGAUAAAUCACUCAUGGAUACCAAGGAUGAGCUCAAUCCAUUCAUCCUAGCUCCCUGUGCCAUUUUUCAAAGUUUCUAACCAGAAUGCAACUUUGUGAAGAAAGUAGCUUCAUAGAGUUUUCAAAUGGGAAGAAACUUUGCCAUCCUCUCAAGUAUUCCAAAUCAUUAGCGUCCACCCAAAUUCAGCUCAUUUCAUUGAUCUAUGAGAGCACAUGAGCAAUUUAUGUUCUGCCUAGUAUAACAAGAUGUUCACCUCUUGCCUCUCACGCUGGUGUUGGGCGUGUUUGGUUGUAGUUUGCUAUAGUACCCUCAUUCCAUGUCCAUCUCCAGCCAGCCUGGUUCUUCAUAUGCAGCAGAUGCAACCUGUUUGGUUGCCUGCAUCUCAUGAAGGGGCACUUAGCCCCCUACUAUUUGGUUGCCAUUUUUGUGCUUAGGGUGUGAGCAGAUGGAAACUUCAGCUGUUUGGUUGCAAACAACGUUUGUGUUCUACUCACCUCAUUCAAAUGUGGUGGCCUUACCACCACAUGAUCAGCACAACAGUAAGCACAACUGACAGCAGAUCAAAGAGGCAAGCACUGACAGCAAACAAAACAAGCAACCAAAUUAGAUCAAACAAAGCAAGCAACGGAAAUGACAGCAAACUACUUAGAUUAACAGCAGGGGCAUCCUCCUUCCCUGCUCCACGCCAGGGUGCUGCUCCUGGCCAAAAUAUUAACAAGUUCACAGCACAAGUACCAUAAGUUCUAGCCACAGACCAUAACAAGUUCAACACUAACACCUAAGUUAACUACAUUGCAUGCUCAAUGACACCAACACAGCUGUGCUUGCUACAACGAACCCUGCACAUGAUCGAGGAGUCGUGGUUGUAGAUUUGGACUUUCAGGCCGAGUCCUGAUAUGCGUAGAACAAGGAGGUCACCGGGGACGAUCCGGUGGCGGCGGCAGAAAUAGUUCCAGCCCCGGCCAAGCACCAUGUGCCCCUUGAAGUUCUAUACCUGCACCCAGAACUCACACCACUUGUUCGCCGACAGCCUGACCACACGUGGGGGCCUCUUGAUGACCAUCCACUCGUUCAUCACCUCCAUGAACUUGCGAGGGAUGACGAUCAUGGCGAGGUCUUUGGUGUCCUUGAUCUGCUGGUAGAAGCGCAGCGGCUCCCGGGCCCCUCCUCGUGGCCAGUGUCGGUGUCAAAACCGGCCGGUCUCGGGUACGGGGUCCCGAACUGUGCGUCUGAGGAUCGAAGGUAACAUGUGACGGGGGACACGAUGUUUACCCAGGUUCGGGCCCUCUUGAUGGAGGUAAUACCCUAUUUCCUUCUUGAUUGACUUUGAUGCGUAUAGGGCUUACAAGAGUUAAUCUACCUCGAGAUCGUAAUGGCUAAACCCUAGAUGUCUAGCCUGUAUAAUCAUGAUUGCCUCUACAGACUAAACCUCCCGGUUUAUAUAGACACCGGAGGGACCUAGGGUUGUACAGAAUCGGUUUAGAGAGAAAGGAAUCUUCAUAUCUGAACGCCAAGCUUGCCAUCCAUGGAACGGAGAGCCCUAUCCGAACAUGGGGGAAUUCUUCUAUCUUGUAUCUUCAUGGCCUACCAGUCCGUCCCACGUAACAUAGCCCGGACGCCCGGGGACCACCUAAUCCAGGACUCCCUCAGUAGCCCCUAAACGAGGCUUCAAUGACAUGUGUCCGGCAUGCAGAUUGUCUUCGGCAUUGCAAGGCGGGUUCCUCCUCCGAACACUCCAAAGUAGUUGAUCAAAAGAACUAUAUCUGGCUUUGUACAGUAGUUACAACCCUGAACCACAAGGGAAAAAUACUUAAACAAAAAUAGGUCAUGUCUUCUGACAGCUCUUUCAGCAGGCAUUGUGUUCUGGCCUUAUUAUUAUUUUGAACCAUUUUUCAGCCUCCCGCUUCGCGUUUCGAGACGCGGUCCUCAUUGACACGUCUCGUCAAAGUGGAGAUCGUGUCCCCUUAUCGCAGGAUUUUCACCAAUACUGGUUUGGGUAAUCCAACCAUGCCGUUCGCACGACCCCUUGGGAAUAGGCAAGUUUUAAGGCUCAUGGGGGGACGCUCGAUAUUCACUGCCUUUAUAAGAAAAUAGGGAUCCACCUUUUUACCCCACGCCUUCUCCCCCCUCGCCGAACACAGUGAGCGCCCGUGUGCGCCAUCGUUUCCUCGCUCCUGUCCGCUUCCUCCUCUUGUCCGCGAGAGUUGCUCGAUUUCGUGACCUCCUGACACUCGUCCGCGUCCCCCUCGUCGCCUUGCCGCCACUUCCCGUGAGUCUUGGCCGUGCGUGCGCGUCGCCAGCGCACGGAAACGUAGCCGCGCCGCGUGUCACCUCCUCCCCUCCCUCUCGAGCCCUCCCCCGUGGCUAUAAGUAGCACCCUCAAGCCCCUAGGAGUCCUCAACCCCCUCCCAGAGCCUCUCCCCGAGCCCAGAGUCCCUCUUUGCCCUCCAUGGCCGCCGUGCCACUACUAGGAAAAGGCCUACUAAUGGCGCACCAGUUUGCCUAGUAAUGGCGCAUCACUGGUGCGCCAUUAGUAUCACGCCACUAGUAUUUAUUACUAAUGGCGCACCACGCAGUGCGCCAUUAGUAUAUAACACCAUGUGCCAUUAGUAUGCCUCCCAGGGGCCAUAUUUAACCAUGUGCUUUGGCACACUAAUGGCGCACUGCGGCUGGAUGCGCCAUUAGUAUACUUGGCAUACUAAUGGCGCACUAUUUGCUGAUGCGCCAUUAGUAUACUUUGGCAUACUAAUGGCGCACUCUGUAGUGAUGCGCCAUUAGUAUGAAUAUUAGGUUUUAUUUUUUUACUUUUCUGAUUUUUGCACAGGUUACAAAAUAUAUUAUUUGACAGAAUAUAGACAGUAGCACACAACAACAUCAGAUUCAUCGAAUACAAUAGAAGAUUAGUCUCCGAAUACAAUUCAUCAUAUUAGUCUCCGAAUUCAAAAGACCAAACAAAGAUAAAACAUUAAAAGUCUCGAGACCGCGAGUAUCGAGUUUGUCUUCACAUUACAAGUCGAUAUCGAUCAUCUAAACUACCAUCACAUAGAAGAGAGCUGCGAUCAUCACGAUGAGCAUCAUCGCGAUGAAACUGGUCUUCAUCCGGUUCCUCCAACGCUCCCUCCUCUCUCCCGCUAGAUAGCGGGCGUAUCUAGAUUCCGCCUCCGCCCUAGUGGUGUACCUUUUGUAACUGUUAACGCUGAAAUGAUGAACCUGUCUCUGACACUCCUCCCAGUCAUCGUAGACACCGGGAACCUUACCCUUGUACACGACUUACGAUGACAUCUCUAUGCACAAGCCUAACAACAGACAAUACAUACAUAAGCAAUAUAUAAGUAUGCAACAAAAGGAUCGGAAGAGAAAAGCAAGACAUUAAUAGCACGAUUCAUGGUCCUACUAAUAAAUAGCAUCGAUUACAUCUAAGUUGAACAACUAUCCAAACCAAAGAGACAUACAAUUCAUUAAAGUUUAAUUACAACAUGAGCCAAUCAAUGUUUCAGAACUACACAUCACUACUUUCGACUCGACUCAUGGACAGGAGCGUGGAUGAAGCCGCCAUCUGUCAUGAUGGUCAUGAAAUCGCGGGCGUUGUCAGCCUGCAUUUGUAGCAUUCCGUCUAUCUCAAUGUUGGACAGUUGAUAUCUAAGGAAGAACUGCCCCGAGGUAUGAAGGACAUCUUGAUGGAUGAUGUCCGCAAACUCCGACUGGAUGCGAAAGAAUUCUUGUCUGAUGUCCGCGUCCUGGAUUGCCGACAAGCUCGCGGCCCAAUCUUUGAGAUUAUUUGGUAGUAGAAGGUGAUGAUGGUCCCUUACGAUCGCCCGCAUGUGAUGGAGGGCGUAGUAGGCAUCCUUCUGACUGCCAGGCGGCUGCUUGACGCAGCAGAACAUCGUAUUGUGGGUGAGCACGUGCUUAUCGUACUUAUGAACUGCCCUGGUGAAGGUGCCUCCAGAUUUGGCGUAGCCGGGGAGAACAUCAUCAAGAACUUUCUUGAUAUUUGUGUAGUCUAUCUUGGAGUUACGGUUCGGGUCGAAAUACGUGGCCAUGGAAUAUUUCGGGCUUAACAGGAUGAGUGUGCAAUGUGUGUCACUGCACAGAACACAGAAUGUUAGAAAAAAAAGAAUGAUCGAAAUCUAAGAAAUCAUAUGUUACGGGGCGGUUAAGGGAUGACUUACUCGAGAAAGUUAGCCACAAGGAAGUUAUCAUUAUCUGGGUUUGCCAGAAUGACGUCUUUGAGGUGUGAACUCGCGACUUUGCGGUCCCCAGCGCUGCUCAAGAGCUUGGCACGCAUGUAGAAGGGGUCGACGAUCACGAUGUCUGGGGUCUUGUCUCUAAUGAUCUGCAUCUCCAUACUCAGCGAAAACAGCCGAACGACGGUGUAGUGCAACGGAUGAAGGUUAAACAUAGCAAAGAUGUCAUCAAACCGCAGGACGAUCGUACCCCCGAUGUCGCCAUCCACAAAGCCCUUGCCCUCUGGCACCUUGGCCACAAAAACCAGGUAUGCCACAUCAUUCUCUCUGAGACGCCGCUUCUCCAAAGAAAGAACACUGUCGUGCAGACUCCACAUAGCACCGCUUGCAGCAUUGAGCAUAUUUGUCGGUAGCAUCGCCCUACCCGCCACGUGCACCCUCCUCGAGAUAUCCUUAGGUGAAGGUGGCCUGUCCUGAGCACGGAUCAUACUCGGUGCCGGCUAGCUCGCACCGGCGGCCUUUUUAGUCGGCCGUUUCCGGCCCUUCUUCUUGAUCUGCUGUAAUGGGACCGAGUUCUGCUCACAGACCGCCUUCUUGAGCGUGUUGGGACUGAUAAUAUUUGGCACCUCCGCUAUCUGAGGCUCGGUGAAGGCGGAAGCUGGAGGCGUCUCCUGAGAACUAAACGCCAGACGACGCCUGUUGCAAUUGGGUUUCUCCGCCGUACCAGCUAGAUCGCGGUCGUCUUGUUUGGGUUCUUGAGAAGGAGGCCCGCAGAACUCGUCACCAUACCCAUGUUCGGCAAAGUACUUAUCGACGUUGGUAAAUGUACCAUCGUCGUUGUCGUCGUCCGGAUCCCGUGCCAUAGGGAUGUCUGGCAUGUCCGGUAGCGUUGCGGCGUUCUUGCCAUGGCUUGGCGCUGGCACAACUGGCGGUCUUGUCUGUGGGGUGGUGUCCCCCGCCCCCAAACGAAUCUGGCUCUUCGGCCAAAGCAGGGGCCAGCUUACGCAGGCGCUGAGGGUCAUCUCAUCUUCUUCGUCGGCCCUAGCGGGUCGAAUCGGAGGUAACAGCUCGUCGCAGCCUGGCAGCACCCGAACCACUUCAACCCUAUACAUUGUGGGUGGCAUCGGAUUACCGUGGAACACGGGGUUGCCCGGUUGAAUGAUUCUUCCCUUGGCGACAUCGACCAACUCGCCGCCCAUGAAGUGCAGGAGAGUGCAAGGAACGUUGGUGGCGCCCUGCAAAAACAUGUAGGGCGUCAGGGAUGCCCAGUCAAAGGCAAGGAGAUGAAGUCCUCGGCCGAGAGGCUUAGUUACCGUGAUGCCGUCGAGCUCGGCUAAUGUCGAGGCACCGCCAACGGUGGGCGUGCAACUGACGGAGGGGCCGCUUGCUGGCGAGGUGUCGGCCGGUGUACACCCGGGUGCAUUAAGCUCCAAUGCCGGCGUCGGAGACACCAAUACCGCCACCGCCGGAGACACCAAUGGCGCCGCCGCCGUAGACACAAAUACCGCCGCCGCCGGAGACACCAAUGGCGCCGCCUGCGCGUUGUGUGAGUUGCUGGCCGUGAAGCUGGGAAUAAGGGGUGGCCCCUGUUGGCCACCCGCAAUCCACGUCGUUAUCCCAUGAAUCAAGGUAGGCAUAAUGCCGGUAAGCGUCGAUCCCAGUUGUUUUUGCACUUGCUCUUGGACCAUCUCCGGAAUCCGUGCCACUUGCGCCUUGAGUGCUUCAACCUCGCGCGACUGGCUUUCCGAGCUGGUCUUUUUCUCCUUUCGCCCACCGGUGCCAUAGUAUGACGACCAUUUUGUGUACAAGCCUUUGCCGGCCACACGACCAGCUGACGUCGGCUUAUUGAGCUUAUCCCUGUUUUUCAUUACGUUCAAUGCCCUAUUCAAAGGGGUGUCGAAAGGGGAGCUCUGAGGCAACCCCGCGCUACUGCUUUCUUUGUCCUACGGAAGGAACGUGAACCAUUUAGAAAUAUUGAGGAUUAAUUAGAAUGCAACCAUAUGGAGCUAAUUACGCGGGGGUGUAUUCCUUACCAGAACAAGCUCAAGCUCCUUGGUCUUCGGAUCCGUGGUAAGCUCCUUUGUUACCGGGUCCUUCUUGUAUCGGGCCCCGAGAAAGUUCCUGGUCUGCUUGUCACUGUAUUUCUCGAAGCGGGGCGGUAGGCCUUGCUCGGCAUGCUCCGCGUCCUCCUUGUCCCAUACAGGCUCCGCCACUCUGUAACCGCUGGGACCGAGUUGGUGGACCCCUAUGUUCAACUGCCGCAUUUCUUUCCCCCACUUACUUGAUUCGGAGGUUGCGGGGCUCUCGCACUUGAUCUUGAACUCCUUGUAGUCAUCUUCGCUCAUCAAAGGAUAUUUUGCCUUGAUCUUCUCAUAACUAUCACCUUUGUCAAUCAUUGCCUUCACCGUGCUUUUCCAAGUAGAUAGGGCCGUUCUCAUCGUCGUGAGGGCGGCACCGUUCACUUUAUUACCCGAGAGGCGUGUGUUUGCGAACUCAGCGGGGAACUUGUAUCGUUCGUGCAGCUUCGUGAAGAGGAGGUUGCGCAAAUUCCCUCGGUCCUUAUGCCUUAGGUUCUCGGUGUUGAUCGAGGCGGUGCUCCGGAGAAUGCACCCGAGCUGAAUCGAGUACCCCUUGACUACGUGUUUGGGCGCCGUCGGAUGCCCGUCGGAGUUCACUUUAGUAAAUUCCUCCCUGACGGUGCCGAGCAUGUUCGGGCGCCGGUCCUUCCGUUGCCUCUUCGAUUGGCUGCCAUCUGUGCGUGCGCCGCCAUCAUCAGUGGUGGCAUCCGCAGCGCCAUCAUCAGUGGUGUCAUCCCCGACGCCACUAGGGGUUGUGUAGUCAGGAUCGGUGUCUUCCGCGGCGUCCUCAUAGCGGUGAGGUUCUUCCUCCAACUCCUGGGACAGCUCCCAGAAUUGCUUGCCGCCCGAACCGCCGGCCUCAUCGUUGUGGGCCAUGUUUCGCUCUAAAUAGGAAAAAAGUUUGGUCAAAAAGUUGGUUAUUGUCAAGGAACAAGAUCAUGGUCCCAUCAUUUAGGGUUUGUCGACACCGAGGCAUCCUAAAAGCUAAGCUUUUAUCAUUUAGGGUUUGUCGACACCGAGGCACCCUAAAAGCCUAAGCGUACAUCAUUUAGGUUCUCAUCGACACCGAGGCACCCUAAAAGCCAAGGUUUCAUCAUUUAGGGUUUGUCGACGCCGAGGCACCCUAAAUGCUAAGUUUUCAUCAUUUAGGGUUUAUCGAUGCCGAGGCACCCUAGGUUGGGCCUAAUCACUUGGCACUAAUCAGUUGGCUCUAUUGCCACCUAUGUUGGGUUUAUCAUCUAGGGUUUAUCGAUGCUGAGGAGAAUUUCUAAGUUGGGCCUAAUAACUUGGCUCUAUUGCCACCUAUGGUUUAAUGCAGCAAGAAUAAAGGGGCAGUUGAUCCUACUUAAUUAAGUACUAAGAUACCCCGGCCCAUGCAUUAGUAGCAAGUACCUCAUAUGUCCGAUUUUUAGCAAAGUCAUGCUAAAAUUCACGGAAAAUUUCAGCAUGACCUUUGCUGAAAAUAGGACAUAUGGAGUACCCGAAUUUGCCGGAACGGAAGUUAAUCGACAUUCCGGCAAACUCAAGGGCCUCUCGGGGUACCUGCAAAAUCAUCACGACACGAAGGGCCUCUCAAGGGCCUCAAGUAGCAGCGGCGUCUCCCAGGACCCCUUUUUUUGCUAAAUUUCUUUGAGCAACAAUCAGAGCAGAAAAUUCAGCAUAUUUCUAUACAAUUUUUUUGGUAUAUAUCAGGUUUUGGCUGCAUUUGCAAAUGCAUUCCAUGUACUGCAACCCUCGAGAAUUCCUAGCAUGAGGUUUGUCCAUCACUUUUGGCUCACUUAUUAAUCUACUCAUCCUAUGUGAAUAUCCACAUGCUAUGUCAUCUGAUGUUCCUGGAUCAUUGUAGUUUAGGCACCAUACAAGAUUGUUAGUUCAAUGUGCUUUAUAUCCUAGUUAUACUACUGCAGGAAAGGAGGAUCAUCAUACACAUAUAUAUGUAUAGAAAUUGACAGGAGCUUCAUCAUUUUUAGUAACAACAAUACAUAUAUAGCAAUUGGAAGCAAACAGAUGUACACAUAAGAUAGAAAUGUAGUGCUGAAAGUUUAAUGCUUACAAAAGACUUGCUGAAAUAGUGAAAAAUAUGGAGUCACCAAGCUGGCUAAGAAACUCCCAAAGUCCACUAGAAAAUCCAAGAUCUAAUCCUGUUACACACAUCAUAACAAUUUAAGAUAAUUAGGAUAAGGAUAGUAGGAAAUGAAAAAGAAAGAGCUCAAAAAACAAUCACAACAGAAAAAUAAUAAAAACCUAGUCCUAGAAGAAAAUAAAUCCUAAAAGAAAAGAAAUCCUAAAAUCUGGAGCAAGUACUAGCAGUAGUAGUCCAACUAGAUGGCCAUCACUACUACUCCUAUGGCCAUGACACAGCACACGGCCAUGGCCAUGGCAACUAGAAAUCCUACACAAAGCACACAAAGCACACAACACAUGGCCAUGGCAACUAAAAUCUAGAGCAAGUCCUAGCAGUAGUAGUCCAACUAGAAAUCCUACACAAAGCACACGGCCAUGGCCAUGGCCAUGAUUGCCAGUAGCUGUAGCACAUGGCGAAGGAAGAAGGGGAUCGAUGGAUGGGCUCACAUGGGGGGGGGCAUAGGCAAACUCGGCGAGGUCGGGGGCGGUCGAGGCGGCGCGGAUCGAGGUGAAAUCGACGACGGCAGAAGGAAGAAGAUGAUCUCGAUCCCGUCGUUCGGUGGUGCCCUGGCUCGAUCUGGACUUGUAGACGACGUGGAAGACGACGGGGAAGCCGGGGGACACACUAUCUUGGCGUGGGGACGAUGGUGGCCGCGACAAUGAUGCCGGCGAGCGCGGUCACCGCACGAGCUCUCGCACUCGAGUACGAGCCGAUGAGGAGGCGACUCGAUGGGGAAAGAGGGGGAAUCAGGCAAGGGGUGGUCUCUCUGGAGGCGGCGGGGGUGUGGAUUCCGGCGAGGGUCGGGGCGACGGGGGUGGGGGCGCGGGGGCGCGGGGGCGGCGGGGGUGGAGUCCGGUGAGGGUCGGGGCGGCGGCGUCGUGGGUCGGGGCAGCGCGCGGGUGGAUCUGGUGGCGAGGGAGAGAGGGUCGAAGGGGAUCUGGCGAGGGAGAGGGAGGAUAGCUAGGGGAAUCUUACUAAUGGCGCACCACACCUCGGUGCGCCAUUAGAAAUCUUUUUUUAGAUAGCAAUGGCGCACCCCACAGCGGUGCGCCAUUAGAAAUAUUUUUUUAGAUAGCAAUGGCGCACCCCACAGCGGUGUGCCAUUAGAAUGUUUUUUAUUACAGUUCGAGCACAGGAUAUUGCACCUAACCCAAUCCACAUCAGAACCCGCCCACUAGCCCGAUUGGUCAGCACGUAGCACACACACCAGGAGGUCCUGGGUUUGAUUCCCAGGCUCCGCAAUAUUUUUUUUGCAUUUUAAAUGCUGUUUGAUAUUUAUUUGUGUUUAAAUAUGUUCAAACUUGUUUAAAUCAUAAUAGUAAUAUUUUUUAUAAAAACAGUAAUAAUUUUUUAAAAAAUAUGUUCAAAUUUGUUACUUGAAAAUAUCAUCGGCGGCGGCGGUGGAGCGGGGGAGGGUGCGGGGGGUGCCCGUUGGCGGCGGUGGAGCGGGGGAGGGUGCGGGGGGCCGGGUGCUCGUCGGCGGCGGUGGAGGGGGAUCGAGAUCGAGUGUCCUCAUGAAUUCAAAAAGUGCCUAUGAAAUUUAAAAAUAUUCAUGAUAUCAAAAAGUUCCCAUGAAAUACAAUCGAGAAAUGAAGACUACGAUUUAAAUACAAUCGAUCUUAGCUAGCUAUCUGUUCACAAUCUUCUUGCCCUUCUUUUUCGCAAAUGGAGUUCUUCUGUGGAACGGACGUCCUUUAGGUAGGGUGGUCCUGCUUCUUCUUGUGGUGUGUGUUGCUACUUCAUCGUCGUCGUCAUGUUCGAUCUUCGGGUCGCCGUACUUGUCGAAGUCUUGCUCAUUGGCUACUCCAUCCAUUCCGAUGAUCUUCCUUUUGCCUCUCCUCACGACAACAUGACUGGGCUUUGACGGGUCGGUAAUGAAGAAGCAUUGGUCCACUUGGGAAGCCAGUACCCAUGGCUCAUUUUUCGCGGUGACGUUUGCGCCCGCGGUCUUGGAUUUGGCUUCGGGUAUAACCAUGGUGGUGAAAUACCGGUCUUCUUUUAGGACGCUCUUGGCCCAUCUGACACGGAACAUCAGGACCUUCUCUCCAGCGUAGCUCAACUCCCAGAUCUCCUCGAUCCUUCCGUAGUAUCUGUCCUUGUCGUUACCGGUGUAGGAUUCCAUCGUUACCCCGGAGUUCUGAUAACCAUCGCUCUUCAUGUCCUUGUUCUCGGUGUAGAAUGUGUAGCCAUUGAUAUCGUACGCCUCAUAGGUCAUCAGGUUGUGCUCGGCGCCCUGUGAUAAGGCGAAUAUGAGUUGUUCUUCCGCAGAAGAAUCCUCAUGUAAAGGGUACGACAGAAGCUUCUGCUUGAACCAACAUGUGAAACAUGAGUUGUGCUCUUUGAUUAUAUCUCCGUCCGUCCUCUGUUGGCCUCGGUCAUUGUACGUCUUCUCAAUAAAAGUUUUGUGCUCUACCACCCAAGGAUCGACCACGUCUAUGUGUUGUAGCACGACUAGGUUUGCUCUUUCAAAGUUGGCGAGUCGACCCUCGAAGUCGACAUGCAUUUCGCGGCGACCCUCACGGUGACCCCAUCCAGCGAGCCUGCCAAGGUGCCUGUUGACGGGCACACCAACGGGGUUCUCGAUGCCUAGAUAAUUCAUGCAGUAGGAGAUGCACUCUUCGGUCAGAAAGCCCCUGGUUAUACUUCCCUUUGGCCCCUGGCUAUACUUCCCUCGUGAACGUAUCCUUUGAUGACACCAUUCAUCCUUUCGAACGGCAUCAUGCUGUACAGGAACGUCGGCCUGAGUUGGAUGAUAUCGUCCACGAUAUGGACUAGCAGAUGCACCAUAACGUCGAAGAAUGCAGGCGGGAAGUACAUCUCAAGCUCGCAUAGUAUCACCAUGAUCUCUUCCUGUAGCCUUCUGAGUUGCCUCACGCCAAUCGACUUCCGAGAGAUGACGUCGAAAAAGUUGCAUAGGCCAAAUAGCGUUUCACGGACAUGCACGUCCAUGAUCCCACGGAUUGCAACUGGAAGUAUCGGCGUCAUCAGCACGUGACAGUCGUGAGACUUCAUCCCGCUAAACUUCUGCUUCGUUGGGUCUAGGUAUCUGCUUAUCUUUCUCGCGUAACCGUAAGGAAGUUUUACUCCUACGAGGCAGGUGAAAAAUUGCUCGAUCUCCUCCUGACUUAGAGUGAAGCACGCGGGAGGGUAGUCACUUCCGGUCUUCUUGGCCUUUUUGCCUUUGCGACGAGUUUCUGUGUCCUGCUUCGCCUCAUCAUCAUCAUCAUCAUCAUCAUCAUCAUCAUCAUUAGCGUGAAGCUCCUGCGUGAUGCCCAUUGAUUUCAAGUCUGCCCUUGCUUUCGGCCCAUCUUUGGUCCUCUCUGGCAUGUUGAGCAGGGUACCAAGUAGACUCUCGCACACGUUCUUCGUGAUAUGCAUGGCAUCAAGGCUGUGAGGCACACGGUGGAUCUUCUAGUACGACAAGUCCCAGAAAACAGACCUCAUUUUCCAUACCUUCAGCAGCAGCUCUGGCGCCUUUCGCUUCUUUCCCGGCUCUGGCGCCUUUUGCUUCUUUCCCGGCAGUGGGCAAUCUUUCCAAUUUUUCAACAGCUCAUCUAUUUCCUCGCCGCUCCUCGUACGCGGGCGUUUUCGGGGUUCGGUUUCACCAUCGAACAGAUCCUUGCGUUUCCUCCAUGGGUCAUCGUCGCGAAGCCACCUUCGAUGUCCCAUGAACACGGUUUUCGAAGACCCGAGAUCUCUAUCUAGCUGGCGAUAUGUUGUGUCAUCCAUGCACCUUACGCAUCCAGAAAAUCCAUGGACUACCUGCCCCGCGAGAUAUCCGUAACCGAGAUAGUCGUGCACUGUCGUGAGCAGUGCGGCUCUCAUAGGGAAAUAUUCUUUCUCUGCGGCGUCCCACGUAUUGGCUGGCGUUUUCCACAGCGUGUCUAGCUCCUCUUUCAGCAGCCCCAGAUACAGAUUGAUGUCGUUCCCUGGUUGUUUCGGCCCUUCAAUUAGCAUACUCAUGUGAAUGUACUUCCUCUUCAUGCACAACCAGGGGGGAAGGUUGUACAUCCACACAAACACAGGCCAGGUGCUAUGUGUGCUUCUCUGGCUGCCAAACAGAUUGACUCCAUCGGUGCUCGCGCCCAGCAUGAUGUUCCUUGGAUCCUUCCCAAAUUCUGGGUAUUCGAAGUUCAAUGCUUGCCACUGGCUCGCAUCCUUAGGGUGACUCAGCAUCUUGUCUUUUUUAUUUAUCUCCGGAUCAUUUCCGUCAUCUUCCCGCUUCUUCUCCUCCCUAUCCGCGUGCCAACGCAGGAGCUUUGCUACCUUAGGGUCCGCGAAAUACCGCUGCAGACGAGGAGUGAUCGGAAAGUACCACACCGAUUUUCAAGGAGCUUUCUUCCUCUUCUUGUAUCGAGUGACGCCGCACACCGGACAUAUGGUAGACUCCGCGUGCUCGUCCCGAUAAAUGAUGCAAUUUUUCAUGCACACAUGGUAUUUCACGUGCGGUAAAUCCAGAGGACACACAAUUUUCUUCGCCUCCUCGAAAAUGGUCAGGCACUUGUUCCCCUUGGGAAGACGUUCGUGCCAGAAUGAAAUGUUCUUGUCGAAGCAUGCGUCGGUCAUUUUGUGUUUUACCUUCAUCUCCAGAGCCAUGAGCGUUACUUUCAGGCGGGUAUCCUCGGGCCUGCAUCCUUCAUACAAUGGAGUAACCGCGUCUAUCUCCAGUUGAUCCAGCUUGGCUUUCUCUCGGGCGGCAGCUCUUGCGUUAUCCGUCUGCUUGAGAAGCAGCUCUUGAAUAUGAGGGUCCUGCACCCAGCCUCCAUCGUCGUCUGCUCCGGCAUCUUCAUCUUCAUGAUCAUGCCCUUCGCCUUGAUCUUCCUCAUCAUCAUGUACGACAUCUUCUACAUGAUGACUGUGUACAACAUCACCAUCGUGAUCAUGUCCUGGAGAUUCUCCGUCUUCUCGCCCGCCCUUGCCGCGGUGGUACUUGUCUUGUUGCCCUUCCUCAUUUCUUGCCCGGCCCCCAUGGACGACUUCAUAGUCAUCUUCAUCACCUUGCCAUCGAUAGCCAUCCAUGAAACCACGCAACAGCAGGUGGUCCCGCACCUGCCCGGAAUCCGGGUCUGCAAUAAGGCUCUUCAUCUUGCAUCUUCGACACGGACAUCUUAUCUCCGUCUCGUUCUUUUGAAGCAUCUCGGCCUUCGCGGAGCUCAAAAACCUAUUCAUGAUGCCUUCGGUCAUCGUGCGGACCAUGCUCGCCUGCGGGGUAGAGCAAAACGAUAUUUUAGAACCAAGAAAAAAUUUGGCAUGACCUUCCCUAAAAAUAGGACCAAAAAGAAUGCAUAGUGCCAAAAUUCUCGCUGAAACGGAAAUGAAUCAACAUUCCGGCAAAAUAUUGGCAACUAUCGCAUUUCAAAUACCGGUACCUGCAAACACAAACAUAUAUGCAACACCACAAACACAUGCAACACCACAAACAUACAUAGAUCUAGCUAGGCCACAAAAAGUGCAUGUGCACGUUGUUGGAGUGAGCUAGGGAGAAAAAAAGUAGAUCUACAUCAUGAAGAUAGCUUUCCCCUUACUUACCUAUCAAAAAAAGGUAAUUUCACCACUUAAUUUUGAUGAAUCUAUGGUGGAAAUGAGGUGAGGAGGAGGAGGCAGCCGAAAGCUUGGAGAAGGAGGUGGAGGGAAUGAAGUGGGGAAAGUGAGUGGGUAGGUGUGGCUGUCCAAAAUAUCUUGUUGGGGUCCCAGGUUACUAAUGGCGCACCACCUGCAAAUGCGCCAUUAGUAACCCUGGUUACUAAUGGCGCACCUGCAGGUGGUGCGCCAUUAGUAGUUUUGCAGAAAAGUAAAAAAAAUAUAUACUAAUGGCGCACUUUUACAGGGUGCGCCAUUAGUAGUUUAAACUAGUAAUGGCGCACUGUGAGGCGGUGCGCCAUUAGUAGUUUUGCAAAAAAAAGAAUAAAAAAAAUUCAGUACUGGCGCACUCCCUGUCUGGUGCGCCAUUACUAGUUAGAACUAGUAAUGGCGCACUUCGGUAGGAUGCGCCAUUAGUAUGUAUGUAAAAAUGAAAAAAAAAUUUAUCACUAGUGGCGCACCUAUUUUCUGGUGCGCCAUUAGUGUCUUCCACACUAAUGGCACAUCACCAACUAGUGCGCCAUUAGUAUAUAGUAGUGGCGCACUACUUCCCUCGUGCGCCAUUAGUGUCAAUCCUAUCUAUAGCCCUUUUCCUAGUAGUGUGCCCAUCGCCGGCCUCGGCCUAAAUUGGCUCAAGAUGAGCCCUUCCCUCCCUGUCUUCCUCCACCAGUAGAUCCACCGAAGCCUGCCGAGCCUCCCUAGCCCCUCAACUACGUCCCGCCGCCGCUGGAGCGCCAUGUCCAUCCUCACCCGUAGCCACCGUCCGCCGUGGUCGUGGCUCCGCCUUCUCCCGUGCUCCCCGGCGACUGUUGUGCCCACAGAAGGGUACGGCUCCUUCCCCUGAGCACGCCGGUAGGUCGAGCGUCGCGAGAGGGGGCCGGAGUCGCCGGGAAUCCGUGUCGGGCCACCAGCCUCAUCGCUGCAUCGCGGGUGAGCGGGAGGAGGAAGAAGUAGACCUGCCAGUGGGCCCCCUCCCGGCGGACCCCACCUAGCAGCCACUCAAGGCCGGCCCUGCUCCGCCACAUCAAAUUAGUGGAGACGUACUCACCGGAGUUCGCUUUCCCUUCUCAAAAACGUCUUUCGUCUCUUCUUCAGGUUAGAAUACGUUUUCCUCUCAGGAAAACGUAUUUACUUUGUACUACGGCUCGAAAUGCAUUUUCUCUGAUCUGAAGGUGUAUUCUUGUAAAUGCGCUUUCUGUUUUUAGUUCAGGGGCCUGGGUGUAGAAAUCUUUUUACAGAUUGGUCCCUAAACUUCGUCGGGCUAUAACUUUUUGCUCGAGACUCCGAUUGAGGUGAAUCCAACGCCCACGUCUUCAUCUCAUCGAGCCCGUGCUAUUCCCAUCAUUUUCACUAUGGUUUGACAUAUUGAAAAUGACCCCUUUGACCUUGCCCGUAAACAACCCCCUCCGAGAGAGAACUAUUUUCGGCAACUCUUUCCUCGACCGUUUCACACUUCUUCCCGAAAUAUUUGAUGACCCCAGGCAAGCCAGCCUCUUAUCAUGAGCCCCGAACUUGCAUGUUGACUUUGCUUGCACCUCGUGUGUGUGUUUAGUUGCAAGAGUCUCUUGUCUGUUUCGUCUGCUGUUAUUUUAGUCAUGCCAUAUGUUUUUGUUAUCUGUCUUGCAUGCUUAUGCUUUCAAGAAAUAAGUUGACAUGCUAAUUUGCUGUUGUUACGGGCAAUAUCAUGCCUCUGUCUAGUUUAUUUUCAUGUUAGUAGUAUCGAUGUUAUGAUAAUUCUGUUGCACUAUUGAAAUUACUAGUACUUGUUAUUGCCAUGUUUCGCAUGCUAUCAUUGUUCAUUUGAAAAGCUUGAUUUUGUUACCGCAUCGGUACGUUGCAUGAUAGUUGUUGCAUUCAUGUUAAAAUGCUCGCCUGAUGAUUGAUGAUUGAAAAGUUAAUAAUUUGAUCCCUCCGUCAUCACUGGGAUAUCAUAGUGCCACAAAAUUGAGCUUUCUCCAGUGCAACCACAUUUAGCUUGUGGCAGGUCCUAGCUGGGUCUAUAGUCAUGCCUCUCGGCGGUGCCUUCCGCGAGGGAAGGUUAUGGGCACGCGUUACCCUGAUCAGGUAGGUGGACAUAAGCCUUGUGUGCCCGGGUUAGGUUUUGAGCUCAUGUCCCCGUUUGGGACCGUUUUGCCAUGACGGUGGCCGUUGGUACCUUUGGUAGGUAUGGGGCCACCCCAGACUGAACCAAUAAAGGGUGUUGGUCGGAGUGGCCAGGAGAGUGUCAUGGCAGUAGGUCGGUUUUGUCGAAACGCCGUUGGUCCACCCGAAUGGGAGUGCGAGGCCAUGGGUUCUGUGGUGUGGGUACAGUGCGCUACCUCUGCAGAGUGUAUGUUUAAUCUAUCGAUAGCCGCGUCCUCGGUCAUGGGCAAAAGUUUGUAGUAGGUCACACUAUCGGGUCUUGGUCGAAGUGGAGGAUAAACCUGAAAUAACUAAGAUGUGAUAAAUAAUAUGGUGACUUGGACUAUGGGAAAAUCAUGAGAAGUCACAAUGAUGUGUUGAUAUGACCCCGAGACAAGGUCUUGGUAAGUCAUGCAUGUGCUCCGAGGAGCCAUGGCAGAGUAAGUGAUUGUUGCAUAAGGUUAUUGCCAUAUGUCUUCACGGAAGGUAACUGGUAGUUUAUUUCCAGCAUAGUUUCAUGAUGCCAUGCCAUAUUUUGAUAUGCUAUGCUUUGCUAUUGCUUUGUUAGAAGUAAGUUUGAUACGCCAUGCUAGUAGAUGCUAUGAUGUUGUUCAUGCUUAGUAUGAUUUAUGAUUCUAGUUAAUAUCAUGCCAUGCUUAGAAGUUGUGUUGAAGUAGACUGUUGCAUAUGCUUGGUUCUUGCUUAGUCAUCUGUUUGUUUGGAUGUUGUGUAUUUGGUUGUCUUGCAAGUACAUUCAAUGUACUAACCUGGCGUGUCAUGCCAGUUUUGUAGGUCGUGCCCGAAUUGUUCGCUUGUUCCGUCGUGCUAGGCCGUAACCUUGCUAGUCCUGUGAGUUGUGGAGCCCAGCCAGAGUUGAUGAGCCGCCAAACCAAGACUUCCGCUGCCAUAUAAUAGCCUUAGGGCUAUGCUAGAUAAUUGUAUUAAUCAAUGAUGUAAUCUUAUACACAUGUAUUUGAUGAAUAUUGUUGUACCUGGAAUGCUAUAUCAUGGACCUGUCGUGCGUCAGGCGUUAUCCUGAGCUGACUUGCGAAGGCC
rnacentral:lncRNA from 1 species